AUUGAACGCUGGCGGCAGGCCUAACACAUGCAAGUCGAACGAGUGGCGGACGGGAGAGUAAUGGCUGGGCAACUGCCUGAUGGAGGGGGUUAACUACUGGACACUGUAGCUAAUACCGCCUAACAUAGGCUGUGUCCAGAUGGGAAUAGCUAGUAGGUGGGGUAACGGCUCACCUAGGUGACGAUCCCUAGCUGGUCUGAGAGGAUGACCAGCCACACUGGAACUGAGACACGGUCCAGACUCCUACGGGAGGCAGCAGUGGGGAAUAUUGGACAAUGGGCGCAAGCCUGAUGCAGCCAUGCCGCGUGUAUGAAGAAGGCCUUCGGUUUGUAAAGUACUUUCAGCGGGGAGGCGUUACCAGCAGAAGAAGCACCGGCUAACUCCGUGCCAGCAGCCGCGGUAAUAC
rnacentral:rRNA from 1 species